AGAGAGGAUGAAUACUCUAAGAUAUGAUUCUGGAAUCUUCGGCCGAAGUAUCGAGCGUUAUAAAGGAAAGCAUUCCUAUACGACUCAAUUGAAUCAUAUAAAGGAAUAAUCACAUUAGGGGUUUGACAUAAUAUAUCCAUACCCUAGUGAUGUGAUUGAGAGUAUUGUUUUAGAGAAGGAUCGAAUUGCAUUGUAAUUCUAACUGAAUAGGUUCUCCGAACAACUUCUACAUUAGCUUGGGU
rnacentral:lncRNA from 1 species